rnacentral:rRNA from 1 species
AGUCACUGACAUUAGAUACCCCCGUAGUCCCAGCCGUAAACUAUGCGCGUUAGGUGUAUCGGUGACCACGAGUUACCGAGGUGCCGAAGGGAAACCGUGAAACGUGCCGCCUGGGAAGUACGGUCGCAAGGCUGAAACUUAAAGGAAUUGGCGGGGGAGCACAACAACGGGUGGAGCCUGCGGUUUAAUUGGACUCAACGCCGGACAACUCACCGGGAACGACAGCAAUAUGUAGGCCAGGCUGAAGACCUUGCCUGAAUCGCUG